ACUAUACCUAGCCCAAACCCUCACAUCAAUUUAACAAUUAAAACUAACUAAAACAAAACAUUUACCUUUGACUAAAGUAUAGGAGAUAGAAAUCUUAACAUGGCGCUAUAGAGAAAGUACCGCAAGGGAAUGAUGAAAGAAAAAAUUAAAGUAUAAAAAAGCAAAGAUUAUCUCUUGUACCUUUUGCAUAAUGAAUUAACUAGCAAAAACUUGACAAAACGGAUUUUAGCCAAGUAACCCGAAACCAGACGAGCUACUUAUGAACAAUUUGUUAAGAACUAACUCAUCUAUGUGGCAAAAUAGUGAGAAGAUUUAUAAGUAGAGGUGAAACGCCUAACGAGCCUGGUGAUAGCUGGUUGUCCAGAAAAUGAAUCUUAGUUCAGCUUUAAAAAUACCAAAAAUACAAACAAAUCCACUGUAUUUUUAAAAGUUAGUCUAAAAAGGUACAGCCUUUUAGAUAUGGAUACAACCUUGACCAGAGAGUAAAAUUUAACAAAACCAUAGUAGGCCUAAAAGCAGCCACCAAUUAAGAAAGCGUUAAAGCUCAACAUUAAAAUAGUAUUAAAUUCCAAAAACAAAUAAUUAACUCCUGGGCCCAUUACUGGACUAUUCUAUUGUAUAAUAGAGGCAAUAAUGUUAAUAUGAGUAACAAGAAACAUUUUCUCCUUGCAUAAGUUUAAGUCAGUAUCUGAUAAUACCCUGACUAUUAACAGCAAAUAAAAUAAUCCAAAAAUAAACAAUUUAUUUAUUACACUGUUAAUCCAACACAGGCAUGCAUUCAGGAAAGAUUAAAAGAAGUAAAAGGAACUCGGCAAACACAAACCCCGCCUGUUUACCAAAAACAUCACCUCCAGCAUUCCCAGUAUUGGAGGCACUGCCUGCCCAGUGACUGACGUUAAACGGCCGCGGUAUUCUGACCGUGCAAAGGUAGCAUAAUCAUUUGUUCUUUAAAUAAGGACUUGUAUGAAUGGCCACACGAGGGUUUUACUGUCUCUUACUUCCAAUCAGUGAAAUUGACCCCCCCGUGAAGAGGCGGGGAUAGACAAAUAAGACGAGAAGACCCUAUGGAGCUUUAACUAACUAACUCAAAGAAAGAUUAACUUAACCACCAAGGGGCAAUGAUAUUCUUCAUGAGUUAGCAGUUUUGGUUGGGGUGACCUCGGAGAACAAAAAAUCCUCCGAGCGAUUCUAAAGACAAGACGCACAAGUCGAAUCAAAUUAUCGCUUAUUGAUCCAAUAAAUUGAUCAACGGAACAAGUUACCCUAGGGAUAACAGCGCAAUCCUAUUCGAGAGUCCAUAUCGACAAUAGGGUUUACGACCUCGAUGUUGGAUCAGGACACCCCGAUGGUGCAACCGCUAUCAAAGGUUCGUUUGUUCAACGAUUAAAGUCCUACGUGAUCUGAGUUCAGACCGGAGUAAUCCAGGUCGGUUUCUAUCUAUUAUGUAUUUCUCCCAGUACGAAAGGACAAGAGAAAUAAGGCCAACUUUAAAUAAGCGCCUUAAACUAAUUAAUGAUUUCAUCUUAAUUAAUUCACAAACAUGACUCGCUCUAGAAAAGAGCUCA
rnacentral:rRNA from 1 species